UACGAACUGUGCAAACGUUAUUCGGAUUCACUGGGCUUACAGGGUGCGUAGGCGGCCUGUUAAGUAGGGUGUGAAAGCCCCCGGCUCAACCGGGGAAUGGCGCCCUAAACUGGCGGGCUGGAGUGAGAUAAGGGUGUGUGGAACUUCCGGUGGAGCGGUGAAAUGUGUUGAUAUCGGAAGGAACGCCGGUGGCGAAAGCGACACACUGGGUCUCAACUGACGCUGAGGCACGAAAGCCAGGGAGCGAACAGG
rnacentral:rRNA from 1 species